GCUGCAGUAGCUCAAUGGUAGAGCUCCCGCUUCGCAUGCGGGUAGACCGGGGUUCGAUUCCCGGAUGCUUCC
rnacentral:tRNA from 1 species